UACGUAGGGACCAAGCGUUGUUCGGAUUUACCGGGCGUAAAGGGCGCGUAGGCGGCUUAACAAGUCACUUGUGAAAUCUCCGGGCUUAACUCGGAACGGCCAAGUGAAACUGUCAAGCUAGAGUGCAGAAGGGGCAAUCGGAAUUCUUGGUGUAGCGGUGAAAUGCGUAGAUAUCAAGAGGAACACCUGAGGUGAAGACGGGUUGCUGGGCUGACACUGACGCUGAGGCGCGAAAGCCAGGGGAGCAAACGGG
rnacentral:rRNA from 1 species